UGCCCCUGAGGGGGAUGGAGCCUCCAUCCCUCCAGCUCUGCACCAGCUCCAACCUGCUGCAGGCAGGGCCAGGCCUGGGAGUCGGCCUGAGGUGUGAACCUGAAAAACUGGUUAUCAAAUCACUCACCUCCUUGUUCUGAUCAUCCUGCAGCCAUACAGCCAGCUGUGUUGCAUGGUGAACCAGAUCAAUAUCAGAUGGAGGUGGCACAGGCUGGGAAGGAUUGCAUUCACUGGACAGGGAGGCAGGACUGUUUCUUCUGACAACAGUUUCAGCUUUAGGAGUUUGUCUGACUACAGCCUCAUGACUGACUCAAACUGAUGUAAGACUGAUCUCCAGCUAGAAAACAAGGUUUUGGCCCCUCCUCUACAGGUAUUUCCAUUACCUGUCUUGCAUCAGUUCCAGUAAUCAUGCAAAGGGUGAGUCAGAUCCACCUGAAAAUUAACACACACACAGAAAUUAUGAGUUCUCAGGUGAGCACAGUGUUGAUCAGCAACCAAGUUGAUUCAACUCACCACAGAACUCCUGGAGCCAAAAUAAGGAAGGAGUUGGAAAUGUGUGACAUGGGGAAGAUAAGCAGCACAGAAUUAGAACAUAUUGAACAUUAGAACAUACUGUUAUGUUAAUAAUAAAAAAAAAAUCAUACUUUCCAGGUAUAGUUUCCUGCUGCAGCUUUGUGGCUCUAAUGUGACUGCUACCAAAGGCAUUGUCCCGCUCUCUUCUUUCUGGACUAUGACUAUCUGCUGCCCUUCCUUCCUCUACCAGCCACAGUGCUCUCCUGACCUCAUGAGGAGCCAUUUCUGAAAGGCAUGGCAAAAUACAGAGAGCACCAGUCUGACAUCUUUCACAGGCAAUUUCUUUCAAUUUUCAAAUACUAACUUCCUGAUUCAGUGAUUUGACAUAGAUGAGGAUGUUUGAUAUAUGCACUGGCAUACCGUGAGUCUGUGCAAACUGAAGAUCAGCCCAUGGAUGAAGAGAAGAGGACUCUUGCCUUCCAGGCUGAAAUAACUGCUCAUCUACACUUUCCAUUCCAGCAAGACAAACUUUCUGAGGGAGGCAGUUAGCAAAUCAUAGGUUGCAAGUAAUCUGGCUAUGAAUGUGACUCAGCCAGUAAAACACUGCCUGGAUUCUUAACCCUGAGAAUGCUCAAGCCUUGGUUGUGAUCCCUGCACGGAAUGAGACCCAAGGCUGUGACUGACCCUAACAAGCUGGAUUCUGGGAAUGUCGGGCCUGACAAGCACCACUGCACUCUGACCAUCACGGAUUCAGGCCCAGGAUGACCAAAGCUGAUCCCAGCACUACUGCAAAAUCCAGCAGAGGAGCUUCUAUAGGAAGGUGGCUUGUGCUGGUGUCUCUGGGAUUGGUCCGUUUGGGGUCAGCUUCUUCUCUGCCUCCCUGGUUGCAAACGUGACCGUGGUCACAAAGCAGAGACAGGCAGUAGGAGAGUCCCCUCCAUUCCAGGCUUCUUGCUGCCACUGACAAUGGUAAAUGUUUGUCAACAGAAUUUGCUGCUCCCUGUCUCGUGGCUGGGGAGAGUCAAACGAACAUUGUGAGGGCAGAGUGGGAGCACAGGUGCACAAUCUGAUGGCACAGGAUCUCUACCUUUAGCAGCAAAUUUGCCUGGCUGGGUAAUAAUCACUGACUGAACUUUGUGCAGCAGAGAAUGAAUGUGCAUCACACAAUACAGCACCACUGCUGUGCUUCAUUUCUAGUAUGUGUAACAUUUAAAGAGAAAGGUCAAACUUAAUGAAUUUCUGCUUUAUGGACUCCCUCUUGCAGUUCAUAUGUUGUAUUGCUGUGCUUCAUGAGGGCUUUGAAAGCUGGGGGAAAUACACAUUGAAAUGGUAUAAUUGCUUUAGUUGUUCCAUUUGUUGGAGCACAGAACAGGUACAGAACACCAGCUCAGCAUUAUCAGGUAGUCAGUGAUGAUUAAGAAUUUAUUACAAUUGUAUUAACUCUUAAUUUCAGAAAAAGCUUGCUAUUUGUCCAGUUGUGCUGUCACUAAAACACAUGUAUUUGCUUCAUGGGGAACCACAUGACUGUAAAACAAAGAUUAUCCUAUAUCUGAAGGAAGACCAAAGAGAAUACUUAGGAAAAAGGCAAAUCAAAGAAAUUGUGAAGAAGCAUUCUCAAUUCAUCAGCUAUCCAAUUACAGUCUUUGUAAGUGCCUUGUUUGAGAUGCUAAUUGUACAUGCUUUGAAACACUAGCUGCAUACCUAAUGUCCUUGCAUCACUCCCAGAUGCUGCUAGUACAACAUUAACUAAGAUGUCUCUGUACUGUCAGAAUUAACGUUUGCAAGAAGGACUCUUUAUUGUGUGAUAAUUUCUUGGUUUGCUUUCCUAAUGAGCUCUGAAAGAGUACUGCCUAUGUAGGACAGGAUUAUAGCAUGUGUCAGCCUGGAUGCUGAGCUUCUCAUCCACCAACCCAGAGGAAAUCUUAUAAAGAUAGCAUUUAUCUUAGUGAAUUUAGUAAGACACUGUACAUGUUUUUGUUAAAAUCUGGACUAAUUGGCAAUGAAAAUACGUGCUUCUAGCUGAAGAUCAUAAUUAUUCAGGUGAAGCAAUAAACUCUGAUUAUGCAUUUUAUAUUGAUAUACACUAAAGCUGUGCUUUUGGGGCAAAAGAAAUCUCCUGACGUAUAUAGACAUGCUUCUGAAAGAGUUC